rnacentral:tRNA from 1 species
GCGAUUUGAUCGCCGGUCGCAGGACCCCCUAUCUGUGGGAUACCAGGCUACCCUAUGGCCCC